rnacentral:lncRNA from 12 species
AGAAACCACGUGCCAAGAGUCUGAGGUCCAUGCUCCCAGCAAACCAGGAUUGAAGGUUGCUUCCACAGUGUGAGCAGGACGUGGCCAGUGGGCACCAUUUGUGUCCUGGGAAAGAGCACCCCGAGUCCUGUGGCAUCCCCUUUACUGCUCACGUGCCUUCGAGGGGCAGGAUGCUGACAUCACAUCAGGUCACGGAGCCCCUGUCACCUGGAGGCUGCACCCAGACAUGAGGACCCAGGGCCCUGGACGUGUUGACUUGGCCACGAGCACCCUUGGCUGUGCGAGCAGCUGGGGGCAUUUGCACAUGCAUGGGAGCUGCUCCGAGGCUACACCUUGGCCCCCACACUGGCAUUUUCG